rnacentral:rRNA from 1 species
UACGUAGGGUGCAAGCGUUAUCCGGAAUGAUUGGGCGUAAAGAGCUCGUAGGCGGUCUGUCACGUCGGCUGUGAAAACCCGAGGCUCAACCUCGGGCCUGCAGUCGAUACGGGCAGACUAGAGUUCGGUAGGGGAGACUGGAAUUCCUGGUGUAGCGGUGAAAUGCGCAGAUAUCAGGAGGAACACCGGUGGCGAAGGCGGGUCUCUGGGCCGAAACUGACGCUGAGGAGCGAAAGCGUGGGGAGCGAACAGG